UGUGCAAAAUCCUGUAUCAUAAAAAAAACCAGCUGCUCACACGCACACUUCUCCAAUUCAAGCAGAAGCUGCUGAAGCACAAACAAGACACUGCACGUAGAACAAGGAAGAAUGAAAAGCAUGGGCGGGUACCAUGAACACAUGUGUGUGUCAGGACUGCAGGCAACAGGCACCCCUCCGCCAGUCUCAGGUUAACUGAUGCUGAAGUCUACUCUGGAAAUCCUUUUCUGACUGCAUUUUGAAGACCAUCUUCUACUUUCCAGGUUGGAAUUCAUAUUCU